rnacentral:lncRNA from 1 species
UUAUUCACAUCAGGUUGACCCAUGGAACUUGAAGCCGCCUGAUUUCUCUCCUAAACUCUACACAUCUCUGAGUGUCCCUCGAAGGAAGAAGACAAAAAAUACACAUCAUCCUUUACUGACACUUGCCUCCAGUGAGACAGUCUUAAGUGUGGACAGAUUUACCCCAAACAUUCUAAUUCCUGAGAUUGACCAGAAUAAAAAAGCACUGCCAAAGUUCAGCACAUCAUACAGACCUCCUGGCUCUUUAGAAUCCAAGCAGAUGUUCGUUAAAACAGGGAAAUACCCUCCUGUGGCCUACAAGAACCCUAAACCACAUAACUUUAGACAGCUUGCUGAUGACAUGCCAAAUAUGGUUACUGCAGCUGAAAGGGAUCCUGGUCAGUUGAACUUCAAAUCUCAGCACCUGAGUAUAAGUAAGUCAGCUUUCCUGAAUAUUGGUGCGGAGACACUGCUCUAUUACUGUAAUUAGACAAGCAUCAUCCAUUUUGUGCUUACUCAUGACAAAAGCACAAAGUCAUUUAUCAUUUGAAGGCUAAGUCCAUGGCCUUUUAUCAAAACUAUGCCUACAUUACACAGCAAACUCAGCAAUAUCCUGCCGACUGUGACACUGGUUUCCAUUCUACUCCAGUUAGGGGGACCAGAUCGGACACAGACAUUUAUUCAAGGGAACCUUUUGGGAAGAUGGACACCUAUAAGCCAACAGAGCCUAGAUGGGAGGCCAGGCUCACACUCCCUAAAUUGCCUUGGCCCCCAAAAUCUGCCUCCUACACUAGACACAGGCACAGACGCGGAGUGUACAGUGCUUUCAUGGACAGAGUAGAGGAGAAGAUCUCCAGCUCUUGGAAAACUGGCUGACACUUUGACCUCUAAAGUCUUCUAUGGAGUCCACAGCUGUGCAGUGAUCUGUGCAUAGGCUCCACUAAAAUGUCCAGUGUGUUAAGCCAGAUAAUAUGUUCUAAUCUGGGUGUGUGAAAGGCAUGGCUGAAAUAUUUGCAUUCACAGAAAGGAAUCUUGCAGGCUAUAGCAUAAUAAAAAUACUUUGAGGUAUCAUGAAAAUACAAUAAUUGUAGGCUAGACUAGAGACUUCAUUGCAAACCAAUUGCCCAUGCCAUGACACUUUUUGAAAGAUGUCCUUUUUUUUCAAUUUAUCUAGGCCUAAUAGGCUAUUGUGUGUGUAUAAAUCUAUGCUCUCAAGACAAUAGGAGACAAAGAUAAUCCCAGUAACUGGAAAAUGUAAACAAAGUGUGUCAUUACAAUGCCAUUGAAACUAAUUUCUAAAAUGUCGGCCGAAAUGCAAUUAAAGUUCACAAUUGGAGAGCAGCCAAACCUUGCUUAAUCCUGAACAAAAACCUUGAGUAAUUAGUCAGAUGCUCGAUUAAAUUCUGGGUCCAUACAUGAGGGAGGGAGAAGGGAACAAACAGCUCCACCCGUUCUCUUCGCAAGUUAGGGGCAAAUCUUAUGGGCCAAAUGUUCCCUCCCCUUUCCGAAAUUCUAAAGCACCAGAACUAAUGCUGCUCAUUAUCUCACACUUCCGGUUGUAUGGUGACAAAUGAAUGUACCAUUUAUGUUAAAGUCGUCUGUCCACAAGAGAUUAGAGAGCAGCCAAACUAAUUUCGGAACCCGGAACCAAAUUAUUGCAAAUGUUUGUUCAUGUAUUUAUUUACUAUUUAAUCGCCAAUUUCGAUUGUUUGUAAACUGGUUCGACCUGGAUGGCGCGCUUUGGUCACGUCCACAUUUUAUCCAACAGGUGCUUGCGUUUAGUAAUUACAAUGUUCUUUGUUGAUGGGUGUUUGCCUAAUAUCUUUCUUCGUUGAAUAUUUAUGUGACAUUAUGUCCAGAUGUGUUGAAAUGUAUUAUGUAUUUGCUAGUGAUAUUGAAACUAGUGAAGUAUUGAGUGAGAUCUUUAUUUAAACUGAGGAAAUACCUGUUUAUGUUGAUUUUGGAUUAUCCCAGUUUUAAGGGUUGGGUUAUUAUUAUUAUUAUUUAAUUUACUAGCCUCAGAUGGCUCAUUUUCGGGUAAAUUUAGGCUGGAGUGGCAUGUUGUCCCAGCUGGGGCUCUGCUAAACUCAACUGUGUGAGGAAUUGUCGGCACUCUGCCUAAAAGGAAGCUAACCUUCUGCACCUGUAAAUAAAUUCCACCAUUUUGUUCAUUUUGCACCUGAUUCCGUCUGACUCCUUCUUCGCAACCCCCUGACAAGACGGAUAGUGCUAUCCAGAAACCCUGGGACGUCCCUAAACUAAAUCACACCUUCAUUAUUUUAAAUGUAAACUUCAAUGGGGCGCUAUUUAUAAAAACAGAGGCUAACGUAUUUAUUUUUAAUUAUAUAUAAUUAACAUGAUUUAAAUAGAUACCGCAGGAUUAUAAUUUCUACAAUUAAUCCUGUGAUUAUUCUCACUAUAAAUUCAGUAUGCGUGGGAUACAAUUUGUACUUUUGCCCAACAGUUUGAAAGUAAACAGCUAAGGACGCAUCAUGGGGCGGCGCUGUUUAGCGUAUAUCAAAACCCAAGCCAAGGCACAUGCGACACACGAACACAGCAACAACAAAAACGGUAAAUUAGGCAUUUUUUAUAGUUCAAUAAAUUGUUCAUUUUAAUUAAUUCAUAUCACAAACUAUUUAGUGACUUUUCUUUUACUUUUUGUUUCUUUUACUUUUACGAAUAUAGCCUACAGAAUGCUUGGCUUGCUAUGUUAUGUUAAUAACCAUUCGUAAAUAUUAUGUUUAGACUUUGACCUAGCAUACUAUCAGAUACGUUUUUAUUUUAGGCAUUGUUGAUGUUGCAUAGUAUUGCGUAAUGAUAGUAUAAUAAAUAUAUUGGCUGGAAUAAUGACGUUGCAGCAACAGGUGAUGGGCGUGGUCUGAAUGGAUACAUUACUGAUGGACUACCCCUUGAACCAAUCGUUUGCUAGAACAUGAGCAGGUUUUUCCACAAAUUGCACUGCAGUAUUAUUCUAUGGGAAUGAAACCGUCUAGUAAAAAUAAUAGGACGCUGCUGACCGCGCGACAGUCAUCAGAAGCUCUGUAUUGUGAACAUUGGAUAACAUGUUACUGGACCUCGUGAACACAGUUCCGCGUAUUCAGAGUGGAUAGAUGUAAGUGAUGCCCUGCACGAAAAUGUCUGGCUGGACGGAACGGUUGUAGGCUAUAAUAAAGAUUUAUGCCGCAAUUUGAGAGCCUGGUAUCAGGUCAAGUGGCGUUACUGGCUGUCAGCAUCUGUAUGCCUAUCGACUUUAUAUUCAUUUACGCGCCUAUCCUUGGCAAUAGGAUUGUGCAUUGCUGCCGCCUAAAAUUCAAGUGUGUAGCAUACCUUGACAAAGUCCGGUAUUUCUGCAUUGUAUUUUCAUUUGAGCCUUUAUAAUUGAGGGUGUUUAAUGAAUGUCAUAUGCAUUUGGCACUACUCAGGUCAAAUGCUGCCCUCAAUAAGUGAAUAACACAUGGAUAACUGAUUUGAUCACCUUCAUAUAGUCUAUAAGUAUUCUGUGUCGACUUAAGUUUGCGGUAGACUUAUAUUUGUGUCCUAUUUUUGCUUGGCUGAAGUAAAAUUUGUUUUAUUUUUAGGUCACGGUUGUCUUCUAAUUGGAAUAUAAUCAGUGCCAAUCAUCGUUGGAAAAGUAGACCAACCCUUUUAUUCCACCUGU